rnacentral:tmRNA from 1 species
AACAUGUAGUCGCCGGUGUGUGGCGGAUUUGCGGACGCGGGUUCGAUUCCCGCCGCCUCCACCA